rnacentral:rRNA from 1 species
AUUGAACGCUGGCGGCAUGCUUUACACAUGCAAGUCGAACGGCAGCGCGGGCUUCGGCCUGGCGGCGAGUGGCGAACGGGUGAGUAAUACAUCGGAACGUGCCCAGUAGUGGGGGAUAGCUCGGCGAAAGCCGGAUUAAUACCGCAUACGACCUGAGGGUGAAAGCGGGGGAUCUUCGGACCUCGCGCUAUUGGAGCGGCCGAUGGCAGAUUAGCUAGUUGGUGGGGUAAAGGCCUACCAAGGCGACGAUCUGUAGCUGGUCUGAGAGGACGACCAGCCAGAGGGGGGCUGAGACCACGCUGAGCCAGCGACGGGAGGAAUCUGUGAGGAAUAGCGGACAAUGGGCGACCGCUGGAUCCAGCAGUGCCGAGUGUGUGACGAAGGCCUGAGGUCUGAAAAGGCCUUCGGGCGGGAACGAAAAGGACGCCGCCAGUCUAAUGGUGGGCUGACGGUACCCGAACAAAAAGCACCGGCAAACUACGUGCCAGCAGGCGGCGUAAAAGAAAGAAGCGCACAAGUAGCUC